GCCCCGACUAUCUUCUUAUUAUCUAAACCAUGCCUCCAUCGCUCGGUCAUUGUUGUCAAUAAAAUGUCUGUAUGCCCACUGAUGUUUACUGUUUAAACAAUGGUCUUCUACAUACGAUGUUAUGCUUGAUGCUAUACACUUGACUCCAAGAUUUUUCCAGGCAGACACAAUAAUGAGCUUGCACGAUAAUUAUUUUUGUCAGUUUCAUCUUCUUCUCGUAAAUUGCAGUGAUUUUCGUGCAAGGUCAAGGCAAGAUCAGCGAUCAGAAUAACGCGAUUGGGGAUGUCGUCCGGACCAUGGGUUUUGAAGAUGCUAACCUCCAGCAUUUUGCUACAAGUCUCCUCAACUGUAAUUAUUGGAAUAUUGGCACAGGAUGGGGUGAUGGGAAGAAUGCUGGCAAUGCUCGAAGGUCAAGGCAAGGAAGAUCAGUGUUGAGUCUGUUGACACUAGAAAAGUAGUCGUUCAGCAAAUGGGCCAGGUCUUUACCUGUUAUCGUCACACCGGCCUUAACAAUAUUUAUGGAUUGGUUGAUGGUUUCUCUUCUCUGACAUCUGUUUAACACAAUCCCAGUUAUCCCACCAUUUUCAUGAAUUGCUGGAUUUGAGGAUGUACUGUACUUAUACAGUACGGCGUAUUUAAAAUAUUUUCAAGGCUCACAAUCUAUGUACAUGUAUUUAAAAAAAAGAAGUUUUGCCCAGUUGUUUGCAAAAAGUAAACAAAAAGCAGCAGGCGAAGCAUGCAAAGGAAGAAAUAAAAUCAUUCAAACGCUUGUGCGUUGAUUUUAAUUUAAUUUAAG
rnacentral:lncRNA from 1 species